CACGUAGGGCGCAAGCGUUGUCCGGAAUUAUUGGGCGUAAAGAGCUCGUAGGCGGUCUGUUGCGUCUGCUGUGAAAACCCGGGGCUUAACCCCUGGCUUGCAGUGGAUACGGACAGACUAGAGGUAGGUAGGGGAGAAUGGAAUUCCCGGUGUAGCGGUGAAAUGCGCAGAUAUCUGGAGGAACACCGGUGGCGAAGGCGGCAUCCUGGACCAACACUGACGCUGAGUGAGCGAAAGCCAGGGGAGCAAACGGG
rnacentral:rRNA from 1 species